rnacentral:lncRNA from 1 species
GAGGCUUCCAACAGAGGGCAACAGGGGUUGACUCAUUGUGGGACUUCAAGAAAAUGCUUAUACGAUCAACAGGGAAUGAUGGGACUCAGUCUGCGGUGUGAGAAGCAGAUUCUGCAGGUGUUCUCUCCAAGCCCACACCUCUGGAAAGUAGGACACUGUGAGAACUGAGAGGAGGCUGGCUUGCCACGGCGCAGAGAAAGGGAGUAUUCAAGGUCGCUUGCGGGAGACGCAUUGACUCACUCCUAGGUGAUCUUUCAGGGGAUUGGGUGAGGAAGGCCCAGCUUCCUGGCCUCCCUGGUACCACUCUUAGCAGGUUACCCUACCCCAUUGAUGACACCAACCCCCAGAGUCUGUUCAUGUCCUUUCCGCCCUGUGCCAAUCCCUGGGUGGUUUUGGCCUCUCCCUGGUAAGUGCUCCAUCUUUGCCCAGAGCUCUGUUUUCUCUUCAGAUCUCCCAGGCUGUACCCACUGCUCCCCAAGGCCUCUGUGCUGUACCCUGGUGGAGAUUCACAGACCACCCAAAACCUGCAGCCUGGGCCAUUCCCAACUUUCUCCCCUGCUUCUGUAUUCGGUCUCUGGAAGCCUAACUCCUUUCCACCAGGCCUCGACCACUGCCCGUGGCACCUGCACCUCAUCCUCUGGUCUUCCACAGCCAGGUCCCAGGCUUCAGGUUUUGCUCAUCGCCGUGACACUUUAGGAACCACAUUUUAUCCAUUCUCCAAACUGUCCCAGACAAGCCAGUGGACAUCAGUCACGCCCUGUGUGACAGGUGCUGUGAAGGCGAGAUUGUGAACCUCCACAGGAGUGGCAUCCCUCACGCACAGAAGGAGGGCGGAGGCUUGGCUGCUGGGAGCACCGUCUCUCUGUCUCUGUGGAUGGAGCUGAGCUCUGUGGACAGUUGGACAUCCGCCUGAGGCUGCACACGUCUGCGUCUGGACUCUGCCAGCUUCCCGCUGCGGAGAGCAGCUGCCCGGCUCCUGC